rnacentral:lncRNA from 1 species
UCACUGAUCUGCACAUGGGCUUGGAAGGCAGCUGACGAGAUCAAAGAAGAAAAGAAAGCGCUGGAGUCCCAACUUUUUAACAGCAUGAACACACGAAGAUGUUGCACAAUAUGCAUUUGACUGACAAACAAAGAGGCAAUUGGAGCUGCUCUGCCAGGGGAAGGCGUUGGUGAAGGGAAUCUUUAGGAAGUCCCAGAGACCUGAGAUGAGGAGGCUCGCAGGUGUCAUUGCAGAGAUUCCUAACAGUGGGGACAUGGAACCUGAAGAGGCCACCUCCUCUAGCCAGAGGCCAGAAGAGAGUGUCAGAUACCCUGGAACUGGUGUUACUGACGGUUGUGAGUUUGCCAUAUAGGUGCUGGGAAUUGAACCUGGAUCUUCUGGAAAAGCAACAAGUGGUUAAUAGUCCUUUUCUACUACUUUUCUGCCAAAUAAUGGUUGUUUCAAAUAAGACUGUUAAACCACCAAUGAGCCAUAUUUCCCCCCCCCCCUUUUUUUUUCUUUCUGUUUUUUUUAUUUUUCUUUUAUUGGAUUUUUUUAAAUUUACAUUUCAAAUGUUAUUCCCUUUCCCAGUUUCCUGGACAUAAGCCCCCUAUCCCAUCCCUCUACCCUUCUUUUUUUUUUAAUAUUUUUUUUAUUAACUUGAGUAUUUCUUAUAUACAUU